UACGUAGGGUCCGAGCGUUGUCCGGAAUUAUUGGGCGUAAAGGGCUCGUAGGCGGUUUGUCGCGUCGGGAGUGAAAACACGGGGCUUAACCCCGUGCCUGCUUCCGAUACGGGCAGACUAGAGGUAUGCAGGGGAGAACGGAAUUCCUGGUGUAGCGGUGAAAUGCGCAGAUAUCAGGAGGAACACCAAUUGCGAAGGCAGCUCGCGGGGACGUUACUGACGCUGAGACGCGAAAGCGUGGGGAGCAAACAGG
rnacentral:rRNA from 1 species